AGCUGGUGGUGACUUAGAGCUGUCACCAGCUGAGUGAUGACUGGAACCAGGACGUGGAAAUGGCCGCUGUGCUCAGGAAAUCAACAGGGGACACAAGGCCCAAGGGGCCUGUGGAGGCUGAGCCAGGCCCUUGGAGUGGGGCACUCCAGACUGCAUUAGAGCAAGAGCACGACGGGAAGUUUGUCUUGGUAGAUAACAUCCUCCAGGCUGCAGGACUGUUCGGCCACCACCCCUACCACGGGCUCCCUGAUUCACGGUGAGGGACACCUGGAGUGCGGCAAGAAGGGGCGAGCUGCUGGGAACUGAUCGAACCCCCGUUGGACCCCGCGGGAGAGCCCUGCUUGAUUUACGGUUGGUCACCCCUCUAUGUCUGGGUCCUGUGUGCUGCUGCCCAGCAUUGCAGCACCUGCACGCCUGGCUCGGUCUCUCCGGCUCCCUCGUUUGUUC
rnacentral:lncRNA from 1 species